rnacentral:rRNA from 1 species
AUUGAACGCUGGCGGCAGGCCUAACACAUGCAAGUCGAGCGAGGGGCGGGCGUGUGAGUAAUGUCUGGGACACUGCCAGAGGGAGGGGGAAAAAUUCGGGAAACUGGAGCUAAUCCCGCAAUCCCGGGGAUGUGCCCAUAUGGGAUUAGCUAGUAGGUGGGGUAACGGCUCACCUAGGCGACGAUCCCUAGCUGGUCUGAGAGGAUGACCAGCCACACUGGAACUGAGACACGGCCCAGACUCCUACGGGAGGCAGCAGUGGGGAAUAUUGCACAAUGGGCGCAAGCCUGAUGCAGCCAUGCCGCGUGUAUGAAGAAGGCCUUCGGGUUGUAAAGUACUUUCAGCGGGGAGGCGUUACUCGCAGAAGAAGCACCGGCUAACUCCGUGCCAGCAGCCGCGGUAAUUC